CCCGGCCCCGCCCGCGCCCCGCUCCUCCGGCCAGCCGGCCGCGGAGGCGGCGGUGGGAGCCCGGGGCGGGGCCCGGAGCCCAUCCCCGCCGCUGUGCCCCGCCGAGGGGCUUCCAAGAACCUUUGACACGACCACCAGAGGAGGGUCCUGCAACCACGCACAUCCUGGCAAAAGAGUCUGAGAGAUGAGUAUUUACAUCAUGGGAAGUUCUCCAGCUUUCCUCAGACUGAAGUCAUCCUAUCAGUUAGAUGGCAGCUGGCAAUAACCCACAUCAGCGAAAAUCAGAAAAGCUGCAGCAGGGAUCACAGAAAAGAGCUUGGACCAGCGCAGCACCAGGGCAGAUGGAUAUCAGCUAUCACAGGUAUGAAAUGCAAGUAGCUGGAAGGAGUGUACCAAGACACAUGUUAAAAUCUCACAUCCACAUUCAAGAAGAAAUCUCCUGCACACUGAGUGCUCUUCUAUUCCAAGCAUGUCUCCAUUUAAAUGGCUGGUGAAGAGCAAUACAUCCUUGCAACCCCAUGGAGCAUUUCUUUGAAUAUCUCAAGAAAGUAAGUUGUACUAUUCCAUAGAAGACUAGAACACUGCCAGUUUCUUAUGAUCUCCCAUUUAUAAUAGAACCAAGAGGUUUGUGUAGCCUUUCUAGAGAAGAAGGUUCUAUCCAAAAAAUUAACUAUAACAGAUAUCAGUCCAUAGGUAACUUCCUCUAAAUGAUGUGCUCUAAGCUGCACCCUGCUUAGCUCUGAAUAACAUGCUGAAGGAAGGAACUCCUUUCUCUUUUGAAAUCACAGAAAAGAACAGAAAGAAAUCCUUGGCUGUUGGCUUGGUACAUACAAAUCCUUACCAAAUUGAAUGUGAGUUUUCCCCUGGGGUCAGUUUUUGUCUUUCCAUUCUGCAAUAGCACCCACACAUUCAUGCACACACACACAGAUACUCUCACUGAAGCUUGACAGAGCAGAGCAGAUGAGCAGGCAGCUAGAGCAAACAUAUUCAUUUACAUUUGUUUGCUCUAACUACAUCCAAAGUAAUUUGUGAAACACUCCCUUUGGGCCUGGUAGGCUGUUGAAAGCAGAAGACCAUUUGGUUUUCCUUCUGAUACUUCAAGUAAUUGUAAGGUUCACAUCUGCUGGGCUCUUCUUCUCAUGGAGAGCUCCUGUUCUCCAUCCCUGCAACGGCACCACAGUUACAGAUUCUCAAACCUCUUUUUGUAAUUCCAUACUAUGGCAAUGCAUUUCUGACAUGGAACUAUACAGGCACUGGCAGCAGAUCUCACCUUUUGAGAAAUUGAGACUGACAAUUACAUCACUUUGUCUCAAAAUUAUUUUUUUCUGUUUUUAUACAAGCACCACAAGCACUUCUCCUGCUUCCCCAAUGAAGCACAGUUCACUCUUUGCCUAAAAGAUGGUAUACAUAGAAUAACAUGGUUUAACACCAUUCCAAUUAGAUAAUAGUGCAAUCAGAAAAAUGCUCAUGUUUCAACUU